rnacentral:misc_RNA from 1 species
UGAAAGGCGAAACGUAAUGUGAAUCGCAACUAACAGUGAAUCAUCGAAUCUUUGAACGCAGGCCGCACCUUGUAAUAUCACUCUGUGAUAUUGCAAGGUAUCUACAUAUGAGUGUCAGCCUAAUAUCAUUUUGGUUCAAGAGGGAUAAUGAACAUUUUGAAUACAAAUGUAUGAUAUGUGGAUUGACACAUGUUUAAAUAUGUCUGGCCUCAUAUGUGGAAGGUUACCCGCUGGAUUUAA